AACGAACGCUGGCGGCAGGCCUAACACAUGCAAGUCGAACGCCCUAGCAAUAGGGAGUGGCAGACGGGUGAGUAACACGUGGGAACGUGCCCUUCGGUUCGGAAUAACUCAGGGAAACUUGAGCUAAUACCGGAUAAGUGCGAGAGCAGAAAGAUUUAUCGCCGUAGGAUCGGCCCGCGUCCGAUUAGCUAGUUGGUGAGGUAAUGGCUCACCAAGGCGACGAUCGGUAGCUGGUCUGAGAGGAUGACCAGCCACACUGGGACUGAGACACGGCCCAGACUCCUACGGGAGGCAGCAGUGGGGAAUAUUGGACAAUGGGCGCAAGCCUGAUCCAGCCAUGCCGCGUGAGUGAUGAAGGCCCUAGGGUUGUAAAGCUCUUUCGCCAGGGACGAUAAUGACGGUACCUGGAUAAGAAGCCCCGGCUAACUUCGUGCCAGCCGCCGCGGUAA
rnacentral:rRNA from 1 species